CCUACGGGAGGCAGCAGUGGGGAAUAUUGGUCAAUGGGCGCGAGCCUGAACCAGCCAAGUAGCGUGAAGGAUGACUGCCCUACGGGUUGUAAACUUCUUUUAUAAAGGAAUAAAGUGAGGCACGUGUGCCUUUUUGUAUGUACUUUAUGAAUAAGGAUCGGCUAACUCCGUGCCAGCAGCCGCGGUAAUACGGAGGAUCCGAGCGUUAUCCGGAUUUAUGGGGUUUAAAGGGUGCGCAGGCGGAGGCACAAGUCAGCGGUAAAAUCGCGGGGCUCAACCCCGCUCCGCCGUUGAAACUGUGUCCCUUGAGUGCGCGAAGGGUAGGCGGACUGCGUGGUGUAGCGGU
rnacentral:rRNA from 1 species